CCUACGGGUGGCAGCAGUGAGGAAUAUUGGUCAAUGGGCGAGAGCCUGAACCAGCCAAGUAGCGUGAAGGAUGACUGCCCUCCGGGUUGUAAACUUCUUUUAUAAGGGAGUAAAGUGAGGCACGUGUGCCUUUUUGUCUGUACUUUAUGAAUAAGGAUCGGCUAACUCCGUGCCAGCAGCCGCGGUAAUACGGAGGAUCCGAGCGUUAUCCGGAUUUAUUGGGUUUAAAGGGAGCGUAGAUGGGAUGUUAAGUCAGGUGUGAAAGUUUGCGGCUCAACCGUAAAAUUGCAAUUGAUACUGGCCGGCUUGAGUACAGUUGAGGUAGGCGGAAUUCGUGGUGUAGCGGUGAAAUGCUUAGAUAUCACGAAGAACACCGAUUGCGAAGGCAGCUUACCAAGCUACUUCUGACGUUGAGGCACGAAAGCGUGGGGAGCAAACAGGAUUAGAUACCCUGGUAGUC
rnacentral:rRNA from 1 species